CGGGCACAUCCAGACAGUGAGAGAAAAAAAAAACUUUGCAGCGCACGCUUCGCUGUUCGUCCACGCACGCGCAGGCGGCCGCGGCGGCAUCGACUUCCCGAACAAUCUGGCGGUGGGCGGCUACGGAGACCACGACUCCACGAGGCGACUAGGCGAGAGGCGCGAGGGAGGAGUCCACCUCUCGCCGGAGAUGCCGCCGGGGGGCUCGCCGCCUGCGUCGGAGGCGUGGACGUGGGAGAACGCCGCGGCCGGAGCGGCCGCCGGGUUCACUACCGUCGCAGCCCUCCACCCGCUCGACGUCGUGCGCACCCGUUUCCAAGUGAGCGGCGGGAGGGGUUGGUCUGAGGUGACGCCGUACAGGAACACCGCGCACGCCGUGUACACCAUCACGCGAUCUGAGGGUCUGAGAGGACUUUAUGCAGGCUUUUAUCCUGCAGUUCUUGGAUCAACUGUAUCCUGGGGCCUAUAUUUCUUUUUUUAUAACAGAGCUAAACAAAGAUACUUACAGAGGAAGGAUGACCAGCUUCAUCCGGUCCAACAUCUCAUCUCAGCUGCAGAAGCAGGUGUCCUUGUUUACAAAUCCCAUAUGGCUGGUGAAGACAAGACUGCAACUACAAACACCUAAACAUCGUACUUCAGGAUAUUCUGGUUUUUCUGGUAAUGUGCACUUCCUUGAACUGUUUAUGUUUAUGUUGUAUAAGUGCUCAUGUUGUUGUAUAUAUGUUUGUAAGCCUAGUCUAGCAAUUUGCUAUAACACAUUACACUGGUUGGCUCUGUUCAUCAAUUGAGUAGCCUGUGCUCAUUGUCAGUUAUGGCAGAUUCUAGAAACUAUGCCUAUUUACAUGGAUUAAAAAAGGGAACUGCCAUUUCUAGUUCAGUGAAAUAUCAAUGUGUUGUGGAGGUUGAUUGGAAUUGUAGUGUAGGGUGUAGCAUGUAGAGUCUGCUUGACAAAUUUGAGUAAGCCUCCUUGUAUGGAGGAUUCUUAUAACAGUUUAACCUACUAGAUAAGAUACCAAAUAAUAAAUUCAUAUCCUAGGAAACUAAAUAUAUCUUGCCAACUGUUAUCACAGUGGGACUAGUAACGCUACCCUAAUGCAAGUUAACUACCUUUGUAGAUCAGCUGCUGCAACUCAAUUGAUGCAUCUUUCUAAUAAUUAUUUCUGAGCUUACUUAUUCUUCAUACUUCCUGUUUUUCUAUAUUUGGUUUUAUACAUUAAACUUGUUUGUUAAAGCCAGAUGCUUUGAGAACUAUUCUAAAAGAGGAGGGAUUUCUUGCACUUUAUAGAGGAAUUGGUCCUGGGCUUUUGCUGGUCACCCAUGGUGCGAUACAGUUCACGGCCUAUGAGGAACUUCGCAAAGCUAUGAUAUUUAUGAAAACUACACAAACAAGGACAGAAGAUAGAGGAGGCGAGGAGUCAUUGAAUUCUAUUGACUUCGCGGCACUUGGAGCUAGUUCAAAAGUAGCUGCUAUUUUACUUACCUAUCCUUAUCAGGUCAUCCGAGCCCGCUUGCAGCAACGGCCUGGGAGUGAUGGUACUCCAAAGUACUCGAAUAGCUGGCAUGUGGUGAAGGAAACUGCAAAGUAUGAAGGUGUCCGUGGAUUUUACAGGGGCAUCACGUCCAACCUAUUGAAAAACCUUCCUGCGGCUUCCCUCACGUUCGUGGUGUAUGAAAAUGUAAUCAAACUAUUCAAAGCAGCCAAGGAGAAGACGUAGUGAAAUCCAAGUAAAACAGAGAAGGAAGAAAAGAAUAUUGAGAUUGUUUUAACACUCCCGGAUUCAUGGUCAUACCCUACAGUUUCCACUUCAGGGUUGAGUCCAUAUCUCGGUCGUUUAGCAUCCCAGACUACAGAUUUGCAGCCGUAGAGGUUGUGGGCUUGUGUCUAACAUGAUAAGUGGGAAAUUUUGUUUCGAGAAAUUUGCAUUUUGUAGAGGGAAGGAGCAUUUUUUAUGUUUCUUCCAGGUGAACAGUACACUGCUAAUGUUCGGUCCCACAGUUUGCACCCUUGUUGGUGCGCAUUUUUUUUCUUUUGAUAGUUCUUGGUGCGCACUUGGGCAUUAAUGAUGGUAUCAUGCCUUUGCUAACGUAUUGCCAUAAUAUAGAUUAUAGAGUGAAUGUACUUUGGCUCAGAUUUAUCUGUAAUUUUUUAUUUGAGCACUGCAGUUUUAUCUUC